rnacentral:rRNA from 1 species
GCAAGUCGAGCGAGAAGGUAAAGUUUUCUUCUUCGGAAGAAGACUUAACUGGAAAGCGGCGGACGGGUGAGUAACGCGUGGGUAACCUACCCUGUACAGAGGAAUAGCCAUUGGAAACGAUGGCUAAUACCGCAUGAUGCCUACGGGCCAAAGAGGGGGACCUUCGGGCCUCUCGCGUCAGGAUAUGCCCAGGUGGGAUUAGCUAGUUGGUGAGGUAAGGGCUCACCAAGGCGACGAUCCCUAGCUGGUCUGAGAGGAUGAUC